AUGUGUGGAAUGGGUUGGUUUCAAAACCUGUGCUCUUAAUGAGACUAAGCCACUUAAAUUCAGGACUCUUAAAGCUGGUGUUUCUCUGUGAGUUAAGUGUCUAGUCUUCCAUUACAGCUAUGGUAGAGUGUGAUUCAGCUGAUGAGCUGCUAGUAAGGCCUCAUCAAGUGCUGAACCAGGUGCCAAAACAUAAGCACUUGGUGUGAUAUUAGCAGUGCCACUGGAUGAAUAGGUCUUUUUAAUUAAGCACAGACAUUGCUGUCAAACUUCAGGUGAGCUGCUCUGUAGGCCUUGAAGACAAUUUUCACAGGAGCUGCAAUUUGAAUAUCUAGCGUCACUUUAUUUACUUGAGGAAAAUCCUUCUGAUAUCCAGCUACUACUCCAAGGACUGCUGUAGGUUCUCUGUUGCAUCUGCAUCUGCUGCAUCUCUGCAGGUAUCUCAUAUACCAAGAACAUCUCAGCCUAAACAAGGUACCUAAGGUUUGGUAACUGAAUCUUGCGCUGUCUCUCCAUGGACCGUAACAAGAGCAUGGCUGCCUGCCUCACACAUACGUGUCUUCACCUGAAACACAAUCCUGCUCAAGCUGCCAGAAAUCUAGCUCUUCAAUAUGAAAAAUGACUCUGUCAGCAGAGACUCCUUGUAACCCACCCUGAUCAGCAACCUUCAUUGCUUUAUUGAGAUAAACUAGCAGUAUGCAACCAAGUCAUGUCAUGCAGAACAUCUAUGAAUCUGGGUUCCUAGCUUUCAACACCAUGCCAUGACCUGCCCAAGACACUCUGAGCAGGGUCCUUCUCAGUGCUGCUGCAGCCAGCUGUUGUGGAUUCAGAUCUUCUCAGAGUUUUCAGGGUCUCCACACCUUCAAACUCUAGGACUUCUCAAUCAUGAUUGAGAGGAUCAUGAUGACACCAGCUGGCACUUUUAGAAGCCUCACGCAAUACGGAGAUGUGAGAGGGACUCUUGCUGAACCUGACCAAUGAAGUCUCAGUCUUCACUUCUAAGGGAUCCUCAAUGCUUCCAGUCCUUAUUUUCCUGCAGGUUUAAAGAAAGCAGUACAAAAUAUUCUUGCAUUUGCCCCAGGCAUUCUUCCUACAGGAGCUCCAUUUCAGAGAUCAGACACAUUGAACCUGAACUACAUGAACUACAUGAACUAAAUGAACUACAUGAACUGAUAGCAAAAGAGUCAUAAGAAUUGUAGAGUGGCCAAGAAAGAAUGGAAACCACGGCAAGGAUCUCUCAUCUCUUUCUGGGAGGAUUGACAGCACAUUGCUUGUAAGAAUUUGAGCAGAAAUAAUAAAAAAUAUAAGCAAAGUAACUUCAUUAUCCAUUGUGAUUAACUCCUUCUAGUUAUCCCACACUGAUAGUUUGGGGUUUUGUUAGUUUGCUGUGUAAACUUCUAUUUGAUAUUAUUUCACAGAGACUUGUACUUUUAUUUCAGUUUGAUAAACCAGAAAACUACUUAUUUGAAAAUUAUAUUCAAUAAGUUUUUCAUCUGUCUGAUUUCAUCACGAUUGUAUUAGAAAACAGUAGGAAAAAAAAAGUCUUAUGAAGUUCAGAAUGUUGUA